CUUCAAGGAAUUGUUUACCUUAUAGAAACGCAGCUCCGUAUUUUACCGGGCGAAGUGUCGGCUGAUUGCUUAGACGGCACGCACGGACUUUGAAUCCCAUUAAUCAAUCAAAAUGUAUCAAUCAGGCAGCUUAAUUGCACACAUGCACGCUGAAAUAAAGAUUUUCGUUGCAUUUGGCCACUGCGUGCACCAAUUGAAACUCCAAAUGCAACCGAAGCACAGCGAAAUUGGUGGAAAAGCAAAAUAGGAGGCGGAAGAAAAUGGGAGGCUUGUUGCAGGCCCAGUUGUAAAAUAACCCUUUGAACCCUCAUUGACUGGAGCCAAAGACUUUUGUCAAUGGUUAUCCCACACAGAACUGGAAAAGGAGCAGCAUGCGGAUAUAUGGGGUAUGCAGGACUGAAUAUCCAGGAGUAAAAGCUGAGCACACGCACACAAGGAGGAGCAUCAAAGAGCUUUUAAUUAAUCAAGAGGCAAUCCACUUUGGCGUCUGAAAACGUUGGCCAAUAUGCCAAUACCAAUUGGGGAGUUGACCAAAAGGGUAAACCUCUUUAGUUGCGCAACUGGCUUCCAAACACCAAACCGCCAAAGUCUUUAAAAAUUAAACACGCGCAACAAAGAGUCGCUUAAAAAGUUGUUCCAAAAAAAAAAAAA